UCAGGGGAAGCUAGCAAACAGCUAGCAGCUACAUUGAUCUGUGUCACCAUCCACCUCUCAAUCACACCACGCCCCUAAUAAUGCAAACUUUAAGUGUUAAUGUGAGUUCUGAAAAUGUUAUGAAGGGGAAAGUUACCAAUAAAGAUCGGAACAGUUUGUGUAUCAAGCUGUACACGUUUAUUAGUUUUAACAUGGGAGUCUAUGGGAGUGAACUCACUGCUGCCUCUCCUGGACACUAGAGGAACUGCAGGGUUUGGCACAAAGGUUUUUAAUUGCUUCAAUCAUCGUCUGCAAGUGUUCAGGUAGGACCCUUCUCCUUAGUUUGGUUGCCAUGAUGUCUCUGUGUGGGUGGAGGCUUGUUUCCUUGUUUGUCUGCUGUUUUUUUGUAGGCUUUUCUUUGUUUCUGGUUGGAGCUUUUUUUGCUCUUUAUGGUUGUUUUUCCAUCCUCUGUGUUUGUUGGCUGGCUUUCUCUAUUUUGUGUCUUUCAUGAAACUUUACUGACUUGUUUUCAGCUGAGUUCCUCCCACAAUCUUUUUGCUGUGCGCCGAUGAACUGAAUUAUUAAAUGUUAAUAACAGAUGGAGCUUUUAUUGUGUGUGUGUGUGUGUGUCUGUGUGUGUCUGUGUGUGUGUGGGAUGUGGCUUUUGGAACAUUUUCUUCAGGCCAAAUAAAGCUGCCCAUGUAAACUCCACAUUCCUGACUCUGCGGUGCGUCUGACUUUCUUUAUGGAGGGAGGAGGCUAUCUAUGUGUGUGUGUGUGUGUGUAUCUGUGUGUGUGAGUGUAUGUGUGUGUGUCUGUGUCUUUGUGUUUGAGUGUGUGUGAGGUUCACACACUUUGUGCUGACUGCAGUGAAAGCGGAGGGUCAGGGUUAGUUAGACCUCGUCCUCUCUGCAGAAUGAACAGCUGGAACGACUCUGAGGAUCUGGCAGGGAAACUACACCAGCUACAUUCACUACUGCGAGUACUGCAGUACAAACCUGAGGUGAUUUUCACCAUCUCUGUUAUUGCUGGUACCUGAAUAGUCUGCUGGAUGGAGAUGAUGGUGCAGCAAGUGGAGCAUAACUGUACAGGUGAAGCUGUAGAGGACCUGGAAAGAAAAACCCCAAACAUGCAGCACACUACGAAACAUCCAGCUGUGCAAGACGAGCAGAAACACCACAGCGGGAAAACUCUGACAAGAAGUUUGAGUUUUCCAGCAGGAGAGGGACUCUAGUUCACAGCCACAGACUCUGGUGGAUGCAUUGCGAGCAGCUUAGGGGUUUUGGUCUUGUCCGAGGAUAUAUGUCAUGCAGACUGGAGCAGAUGGGGAUGGAAACUGAAUCUUCUGUUUAAUGUUUGAAGUUUUUGACUUCAGCUCUUUUAUCCUUGUGUUGUUUCCUGUGAUGUGCACUCUGUCUACUCUGGCUCCCUGAGGUCACUUUUGCUGUAAAUCUAAUUAAAAAAAUGAUCUUUGUGUUAUGUUUGCCUGUUUUUAGGUCCUCUAAAUCACUGUGGGCAGUUGUGCUGUACAGACUGUGCACACAUGUACCUGUGUUAAAAAUACUCUGUAUACUCUGCUGACUGAAGCUCCUUGUUGCUGUAACAAUAAAAUGAUCAGAAGCUAAAUGCUUCAGUAUGAAAAGCAGUGAUGGA